AUUGAACGCUGGCGGCAGGCUUAACACAUGCAAGUCGAGCGGGGGAAGGUAGCUUGCUACCGGACCUAGCGGCGGACGGGUGAGUAAUGCUUAGGAGUCUGCCUAUUAGUGGGGGACAACAUCUCGAAAGGGAUGCUAAUACCGCAUACGUCCUACGGGAGAAAGCAGGGGAUCUUCGGACCUUGCGCUAAUAGAUGAGCCUAAGUCGGAUUAGCUAGUUGGUGGGGUAAAGGCCUACCAAGGCGACGAUCUGUAGCGGGUCUGAGAGGAUGAUCCGCCACACUGGGACUGGGACACGGCCCAGACUCCUACGGGAGGUAGCAGUGGGGAAUAUUGGACAAUGGGGGGAACCCUGAUCCAGCCAUGCCGCGUGUGUGAAGAAGGCCUUAUGGUUGUAAAGCACUUUAAGCGAGGAGGAGGCUACUCUAGUUAAUACCUAGGGACAGUGGACGUUACUCGCAGAAUAAGCACCGGCUAACUCUGUGCCAGCCGCCGCCGUAA
rnacentral:rRNA from 1 species